GAUGAACGCUGGCGGCGUGCCUAAUACAUGCAAGUCGAGCGAACGGACGAGAAGCUUGCUUCUCUGAUGUUAGCGGCGGACGGGUGAGUAACACGUGGAUAACCUACCUAUAAGACUGGGAUAACUUCGGGAAACCGGAGCUAAUACCGGAUGAUAUUUUGAACCGCAUGGUUCAAAAGUGAAAGACGGUCUUGCUGUCACUUAUAGAUGGAUCCGCGCUGCAUUAGCUAGUUGGUAAGGUAACGGCUUACCAAGGCAACGAUGCAUAGCCGACCUGAGAGGGUGAUCGGCCACACUGGAACUGAGACACGGUCCAGACUCCUACGGGAGGCAGCAGUAGGGAAUCUUCCGCAAUGGGCGAAAGCCUGACGGAGCAACGCCGCGUGAGUGAUGAAGGUCUUCGGAUCGUAAAACUCUGUUAUUAGGGAAGAACAUAUGUGUAAGUAACUGUGCACAUCUUGACGGUACCUAAUCAGAAAGCCACGGCUAACUACGUGCCAGCAGCCGCGGUAAUACGUAGGUGGCAAGCGUUAUCCGGAAUUAUUGGGCGUAAAGCGCGCGUAGGCGGUUUUUUAAGUCUGAUGUGAAAGCCCACGGCUCAACCGUGGAGGGUCAUUGGAAACUGGAAAACUUGAGUGCAGAAGAGGAAAGUGGAAUUCCAUGUGUAGCGGUGAAAUGCGCAGAGAUAUGGAGGAACACCAGUGGCGAAGGCGACUUUCUGGUCUGUAACUGACGCUGAUGUGCGAAAGCGUGGGGAUCAAACAGGAUUAGAUACCCUGGCAGUCCACGCCGUAAACGAUGAGUGCUAAGUGUUAGGGGGUUUCCGCCCCUUAGUGCUGCAGCUAACGCAUUAAGCACUCCGCCUGGGGAGUACGACCGCAAGGUUGAAACUCAAAGGAAUUGACGGGGACCCGCACAAGCGGUGGAGCAUGUGGUUUAAUUCGAAGCAACGCGAAGAACCUUACCAAAUCUUGACAUCCUUUGACAACUCUAGAGAUAGAGCCUUCCCCUUCGGGGGACAAAGUGACAGGUGGUGCAUGGUUGUCGUCAGCUCGUGUCGUGAGAUGUUGGGUUAAGUCCCGCAACGAGCGCAACCCUUAAGCUUAGUUGCCAUCAUUAAGUUGGGCACUCUAAGUUGACUGCCGGUGACAAACCGGAGGAAGGUGGGGAUGACGUCAAAUCAUCAUGCCCCUUAUGAUUUGGGCUACACACGUGCUACAAUGGACAAUACAAAGGGCAGCGAAACCGCGAGGUCAAGCAAAUCCCAUAAAGUUGUUCUCAGUUCGGAUUGUAGUCUGCAACUCGACUACAUGAAGCUGGAAUCGCUAGUAAUCGUAGAUCAGCAUGCUACGGUGAAUACGUUCCCGGGUCU
rnacentral:rRNA from 1 species